GACGAACGCUGGCGGCGUGCUUAACACAUGCGAGUCGAACGGAAAGGCCUGCUUUCCCUUGUGGAUUGCGGGUACUCGAGUGGCGAACGGGUGAGUAACACGUGAGUGAUCUGCCCCCAACUUGGGUAUAAGCCUGGGAAACUGGGUCUAAUUCCCGAUAGGACUGCAGGGUGGUGCCUGUGGUGGAAAACGAUUUUCUAGUGGUUGGGGAUGAGCUCGCGGCCUAUCAGCUUGUUGGUGGGGUAAUGGCCUACCAAGGCGGCGACGGGUGGCCGGCCUGAGAGGGUGGACGGCCACAUUGGGACUGAGAUACGGCCCAGACUCCUACGGGAGGCAGCAGUGGGGAAUAUUGCACAAUGGGCGGAAGCCUGAUGCAGCGACGCCGCGUGGGGGAUGACGGCCUUCGGGUUGUAAACUCCUUUCGACCGCGAGGAAGCCACCUGGUUGGAAGGGUGGUGACGGUAGUGGUAGAAGAAGCACCGGCUAACUACGUG
rnacentral:rRNA from 1 species